rnacentral:rRNA from 1 species
UGAUCCUGCCGGAGGUCACUGCUAUCGGGUUCGAUUAACGCCAUGCGAGUCGAGAGGGUUCAGACCCUCGCGCGGACUGCUCAGUAACACGUGGAUAACCUGACCUGUGGUGGAGCAUAACCCCGGGAAACUGGGGAUAAUACUCCAUAAGUUACGAUAUCUGGAAUGAUUUGUAGCUCAAAGCUCCGGCGCCACAGGAUGGAUCUGCGGCCGAUUAGGUAGUAGUUGGGGUAGAGGCCCAACUAGCCUGUAAUCGGUACGGGUUGUGGGAGCAAGAGCCCGGAGAUGGAAUCUGAGACACGAUUCCAGGCCCUACGGGGCGCAGCAGGCGCGAAAACUUUACAAUUGCAGGAAACCGUGAUAAGGGAACCCCGAGUGCCCGUACACGCGGGCUGUCUGGGUGUAUAAAAUGCACCCAAAGAAAGGGCCGGGCAAGACCGGUGCCAGCCGCCGCGGUAAUACCGGCGGCUCGAGUGGUGACCACUUAUAUUGGGCUUAAAGCGUUCGUAACUGGACUGCUAAGUCCCUUGGGAAAUCCGACGGCUUAACCGGUGGGCGUCUAAGGGAUACUGGCAGUCUUGGGACCGGGAGACGUAGACGUCUCCGGAGGU